rnacentral:rRNA from 1 species
AACACAUGCAAGUCGAACGGUAGCACAUAGGAGUUUGCUCCUUGGGUGACGAGUGGCGGACGGGUGAGUAAUGCUUGGGAAUCUGGCUUAUGGAGGGGGAUAACUACUGGAAACGGUAGCUAAUACCGCGUAAUGUCUUAGGACUAAAGGGUGGGACCAUUUGGCCACCUGCCAUAAGAUGAGCCCAAGUGGGAUUAGGUAGUUGGUGAGGUAAAGGCUCACCAAGCCCGCGAUCUCUAGCUGGUCUGAGAGGAUGACCAGCCACACUGGAACUGAGACACGGUCCAGACUCCUACGGGAGGCAGCAGUGGGGAAUAUUGCACAAUGGGGGGAACCCUGAUGCAGCCAUGCCGCGUGAAUGAAGAAGGCCUUCGGGUUGUAAAGUUCUUUCGGUGACGAGGAAGGCGAUUGUUUUAAUAGAACAGUCGAU